GUCAAGUUAGUUUAAGAUAAAACAUCAGCCUGUGGAUUUGAAAAUGAAAACUUGUUUCACUUGAUC
rnacentral:tRNA from 1 species